GGGUAUGUAGCUCAGUGGUAGAGUGUGUGCUUAGCAUGCACAAGGUCCUAGGUUCAAUCCCCAGUACCUCCA
rnacentral:tRNA from 1 species